UACAGAGGGGGCAAGCGUUAUUCGGAAUUAUUGGGCGUAAAGGGCGCGUAGGCGGCUUUUCAAGUGACGGGUGAAAUCCCUCGGCUUAACCGAGGAACUGCCUGUCAGACUGGAAGGCUUGAGACCGGGAGAGGUGAGUGGAAUUCCCAGUGUAGCGGUGAAAUGCGUAGAUAUUGGGAGGAACACCAGUGGCGAAGGCGGCUCACUGGACAGGAACUGACGCUGAGGCGCGAAAGCGUGGGGAGCAAACAGG
rnacentral:rRNA from 1 species